rnacentral:tRNA from 1 species
GGCUUUAGGCCCAGGACACCGCCCUUUCACGGCGGUAACACGGGUUCGAAUCCCGUUAGGGUCGCCA